GGAAGUGUGCCGGAGCAAGACAAACGGGACGGACUGUAAAUCCGUUGGCUAAGCCUACACUGGUGCGAAUCCAGUCACUUCCACCA
rnacentral:tRNA from 1 species